UCUGUCUUAGUGGCGGACGGGUGAGUAACGCGUGGGCAACCUGCCCUGUACCGGGGGAUAACACUUAGAAAUAGGUGCUAAUACCGCAUAAUAGGGAAUACCGACAUGGUAAUCCUUUGAAAACUCCGGUGGUACAGGAUGGGCCCGCGUCUGAUUAGCCAGUUGGCGGGGUAACGGCCCACCAAAGCGACGAUCAGCAGCCGGCCUGAGAGGGUGGACGGCCACACUGGGACUGAGACACGGCCCAGACUCCUACGGAAGGCAGCAG
rnacentral:rRNA from 1 species